rnacentral:rRNA from 1 species
AGCAGUAGCCGCGGUAAUACGAAGGGGGCUAGCGUUGUUCGGAAUUACUGGGCGUAAAGCGCACGUAGGCGGACAUUUAAGUCAGGGGUGAAAUCCCGGGGCUCAACCCCGGAACUGCCUUUGAUACUGGGUGUCUAGAGUAUGGAAGAGGUGAGUGGAAUUCCGAGUGUAGAGGUGAAAUUAGUAGAUAUUCGGAGGAACACCAGUGGCGAAGGCGGCUCACUGGUCCAUUACUGACGCUGAGGUGCGAAAGCGUGGGGAGCAAACAGGAUUAGAUACCCCUGUAGUCCCUGUCUCUUAUAC